AAGUCGUAACAAGGUUUCCGUAGGUGAACCUGCGGAAGGAUCAUUAACGAGUUCUGACUUGGGUUGUCGCUGGUCCUCCGGGACAUGUGCACACCUGAUGCUCAUCCACUCACCCCUGUGCACACUUGUAGUCUCCUUUUUCUUUUGAUUCCAAUGGGUGUUGUUGAAGGCUUCACGGCUGGAUCCCAUCUAGCGGGAAAGAAAGCAGGGGGAUUACGUUUUUAUAUACGCAUAAAGUCUAGAAUGUUAUCUUUGCUAUAAACGCAUUUUAAUACAACUUUCAACAACGGAUCUCUUGGCUCUC
rnacentral:misc_RNA from 1 species